GGACCUGACUGCUAUCGGAUUGAUACUAAGCCAUGCGAGUCAUUGUAGCAAUACAAGGCAUACGGCUCAGUAACGCGUAGUCAACCUAACCUAUGGACGGGAAUAACCUCGGGAAACUGAGAAUAAUGCCCGAUAGAACAUUAUGCCUGGAAUGGUUUAUGUUCCAAAUGAUUUAUCGCCGUAGGAUGGGACUGCGGCCUAUCAGUUUGUUGGUGAGGUAAUGGCCCACCAAGACUAUUACAGGUACGGGCUCUGAGAGGAGUAGCCCGGAGAUGGGUACUGAGACACGGACCCAGGCCCUAUGGGGCGCAGCAGGCGAGAAAACUUUGCAAUGUGCGAAAGCACGACAAGGUUAAUCCGAGUGGUUUCUGCUAAAGAAACCUUUUGUCAGUCCUAGAAACACUGAUGAAUAAGGGGUGGGCAAGUUCUGGUGAAAGG
rnacentral:rRNA from 1 species